rnacentral:rRNA from 1 species
GACGAACGCUGGCGGCGUGCCUAAUACAUGCAAGUAGAACGCACAGUUUAUACCGUAGCUUGCUACACCAUAGACUGUGAGUUGCGAACGGGUGAGUAACGCGUAGGUAACCUGCCUGGUAGCGGGGGAUAACUAUUGGAAACGAUAGCUAAUACCGCAUAAUAUUAAUUAUUGCAUGAUAAUUAAUUGAAAGGUGCAAUUGCACCACUACCAGAUGGACCUGCGUUGUAUUAGCUAGUAGGUGAGGUAACGGCUCACCUAGGCGACGAUACAUAGCCGACCUGAGAGGGUGAUCGGCCACACUGGGACUGAGACACGGCCCAGACUCCUACGGGAGGCAGCAGUAGGGAAUCUUCGGCAAUGGACGAAAGUCUGACUGAGCAACGCCGCGUGAGUGAAGAAGGUUUUCGGAUCGUAAAGCUCUGUUGUAAGAGAAGAACGGGUGUGAGAGUGGAAAGUUCACACUGUGACGGUAUCUUACCAGAAAGGGACGGCUAACUACGUG